CCACAAAGCCACCUGGAUGCGGGUUCACGUCCUUGCCGUGGGCUUUUGAGAGCCUUUUAAUUAGGAGCCGGCACUAAUGAAGCUGAUUCAUGGAAUUUCUGCUCCGGCAGCACCGUGUUGCUUUAAGCUGUUUACUCGAGUUCAGGAGGCGACAGCUCACAGGGUAUUUUUAGCUCUCCGGGUAGCGGAGCGGGAUUAAAAUGCAGUCAGUGUUACAGACGCUGGGGCUGAAUCAGUAUUCCUGCACAAGCGUCUCCGUGCCAGCGUUUUCCAUUGAGUGUCUGAAAAACCCAAGUUUCCAUGGAGACCCAGCUCCAGGGCAACCCGUUUUCCUUGCAAAAAAUAAUGACAAUAAGAUAAAAUAAAAUAAAAUAAAAUUUUAAAAAGGCAGCAGGUAGAGAGCGGGAGCAGGGGGUCGACCAUGGGAUGGCACCAGGAGGAGGGUGGUGGCUGUAAAUCCCAAUCCCUUCCCGCUGGGAUGUUGGGGCGGAAGCAGAGGCGUGGGCGUGGGUGUGAAAUGCUGGUAAAGGUGGUUGGGUGUGGGCUGUGCUGCUCGAGCCACCCCGUGCCCCUCUGGGGGGGUUUGGGGGCUGGGUGUGCUCCGUGCGGGGCGGGUUUGGUGCUUUGCUGUGGGGAAAAGGGGCAAUGUGACACCAAGGUUGGGUUUGGAAGGGUGGGAACAGGAAUUGUCACCCCAUCUCCUGGAGCUAAAUGAGUUAAAUCAGAAGAUUCUCUCACCCGUGCUGGAUCUGUGUCCUCUUCUGCCUCGAGGCAUCUCUGAAAGGGCUUCUCCAGGGGCAAGUUUGUCUCCAGUCCGAUGUGCGGGAGCAGAAACGCCCUCGGAGGACGCGAGGCUGGAGGUGUUGGCUCAGGGUCACACCACAGGACUGCCUUGCCUUGGUUUGCUCGUUGGCCAUCGCAGAGUCCUCAACCACCAGACUCUCCCAUGGAGAAGAGACCGAAACGUUGGGGUCUCUGUUAUUUUCUAGCUUGGAAAAUUCCCCCCUGAUUUUCCCCCCUCCUGCUGCAUCUUCCUUGGAAAUUUGGCGGAAAACUAAGAGAAAACUCUUCAUCAUUGCAGGGCUUUUCUCUGAUUUCUCCUGCCUGUGCCCAGCACUGUGGUCAGGACUCAGCCCAGCUGGUGCAGCGACAGUGCUGGGUGGCAAAGCAGGGCAGCGGGAGAAAACCCAGUGCUCUCAGUGCGGCACGGGACAAGAUUUGGCAAGUGGGACCCAGCAAUGAGAUGCUGGUUUGGUUCUCCCAAUAACCACAGGAUGGCUGGCCUGGGGACCCAUCCAGUGGCACCCUUGGAGGCCCCCCUCGGUGGGGAUGUGGACAUGGGCCGGAUGCUGAAGCCAGGAGUGUGAUUUUCCUGAACAAGCCACAUCCUCGAGCCCGCUGAGAUGCGAGUUGGAGCCACGGCAUUUCCUGCCCGUUGCUCGCCCCCUGCUCUGGUGGGGUUUUUCCAUGUGGUGAUCCAGCAUGUGGAAACCUUGGAAACCCAACCUGCAGCCACUUCUAGCCACCCUGAGGGAGGCCGAAAAGCACAAUGAGAGCAAGGACAAAGCAGAGCCAGCUCUCGGUCAGCCCCAGCACUGCCUCCCUGCACGGGAAUGCUGCAUCCGCAGGGCCAGCCCAUGGGUGACGUGUAAAUGGUGCAGCUGCUGGGCAGGGAUGGACCAUCUCUGUGGGGAUGAGCUGCUUCUGGGAGCAGAAGGCUCCCCAGAUCCCGACCUCCUGGUGAGAUCUCUGUCCUAGAGCCAGAUGUGAGGGCAGGUGGGAUUCACGCAGAGGCAGAAGGCCGCGGACGGACGGGAGCCACCGAAGCCCCGGUGCAAUCGGGCACUUCAAGGCCACGCUCUCCACAGCACCGUUCGUUAUUUCGAUUUUUCAAACCAGUCAUGAGCAGCCAGGGUUGAACAAAUUGCUCCAUUUUCAAAGCGGAAUUUGUGCUUCGCCAUCCAUUACCUGGGGAAAAAACCCUGAGCUCCCAUCUGUGGAGAAGCUUCCUCGCUUUCUCGGGGGUGUUUUCAUUAAAAGAGCGAUGGGUGUUUAACACCCCGUGUCCUCCGAGCCAAAUCCAACUCCCAAACUGGUACCAAACCAAAUGAUUUUUGCUGCAGCUCCUCUCAGCCUGAUUGAUUAAUAUUUCUGCCCAAGCAAAGAAAAUGUCCUGUGAAAAGGCUCCUUUUGAUCUAAAAACUGUUGUCAUCGGCUUUUUUUUAAUUGAGAACCCCUUCCACUGGCAUUAAUAGCUGCUCCCCCAGCCCUGCCCUGCGCUCAGCAUGCCUGAAACAGUUCCUAUCCAACAGAUGAUUUUCCAGCAUUGGAAACAGCUGACACGAUGGGAUUUCAUCUCCAUUCACAGGGAAUUUAGGCAGACUUGUUCCUAUUCAGGCUGUGCUCAGAAAAUGGGCUGUUUUCCUUGUUCUUGAUAAUAAAAGAGGAAAAAAGUCAU